GUGAAUCAUCAAAUUUUUGAACGCAAAUUGCACUCUCUUCUGAGAGUAUGCCUGUUUGAGGGUCAGCCUAAAAAAAAAUCGACAUAGUCGCUGUUUCGCGGUGACCUUCGUCGGAAAUUCGGUCAUCUUAAACCUUUGGGCUUUAAGUGGCUUAAAAUUUUCUUUACGAUUCCUCGAACGACUCUAAGAUUUACUUUUUAUAUGUCUAUGGU
rnacentral:misc_RNA from 1 species